rnacentral:rRNA from 1 species
AUCUUAGUGGCGAACGGGUGAGUAACGCGUAAUCAACCUGCCCUACAAUGGGGGACAACAGUUGGAAACGACUGCUAAUACCGCAUACGACCUACGGUUGGCAUCAAUGGUAGGUGAAAGGUGGCCUCUACAUGUAAGCUAUCGUUGUAGGAGGGGAUUGCGUCUGAUUAGCUAGUUGGAGGGGUAACGGCCCACCAAGGCGAUGAUCAGUAGCCGGUCUGAGAGGAUGAACGGCCACAUUGGGACUGAGACACGGCCCAAACUCCUACGGGAGGCAGCAGUGGGGAAUCUUCCGCAAUGGACGAAAGUCUGACGGAGCAACGCCGCGUGAGUGAUGACGGUCUUCGGAUUGUAAAGCUCUGUUAAUCGGGACGAAUGGUUUGUGUGCAAAUAGUGCAUGGACAUGACGGUACCGGAAUAGAAAGCCACGGCUAACUACGUGCCAGCAGCCGCGGUAAUACGUAGGUGGCAAGCGUUGUCCGGAAUUAUUGGGCGUAAAGCGCGCGCAGGCGGACUAGCCAGUCAGUCUUAAAAGUUCGGGGCUUAACCCCGUGAUGGGAUUGAAACUACUAGUCUAGAGUAUCGGAGAGGAAAGUGGAAUUCCUAGUGUAGCGGUGAAAUGCGUAGAUAUUAGGAAGAACACCAGUGGCGAAGGCGACUUUCUGGACGAACACUGACGCUGAGGCGCGAAAGCCAGGGGAGCGAACGGGAUUAGAUACCCCGGUAGUCCUGGCCGUAAACGAUGGGUACUAAGUGUGGGAGGUAUCGACCCCUUCCGUGCUGCAGUUAACGCAAUAAAUACCCCGCCUGGGGGAGUACGGUCGCAAGACUGAAACUCAAAGGAAUUGACGGGGGCCCGCACAAGCGGUGGAGUAUGUGUUUAAUUCGACGCACUGCAAACAACCGUACCCGGUCUGACAUUGAAGGACAGAAGCUAAAAAUAGUAGUUCUUCUUCUGUAUCUCAGAAAACAGUAAGAAGACGGUUGCCGUUCUUACUGCUUGAUUGCUGGGAUGAUACGUUACAACCCGCAGCGGCGUCUCUCUCUGACAUUAUUCUGUACGUGAGAUAUUCGG